rnacentral:sRNA from 1 species
AAGAAAGUGACAAGGAGAGGAAGAAGAAGAAAAAAA